rnacentral:rRNA from 1 species
GACGAACGCUGGCGGCGUGCUUAACACAUGCAAGUCGAACGGAAAGGCCCCUUUGGGGGUACUCGAGUGGCGAACGGGUGAGUAACACGUGAGUAACCUGCCCUUGACUUCGGGAUAACUUCAGGAAACUGGGGCUAAUACCGGAUAGGAAUCCUUGCUGCAUGGUGGGGGUUGGAAAGCUUCGGCGGUUUUGGAUGGACUCGCGGCUUAUCAGCUUGUCGGUGGGGUAGUGGCUUACCAAGGCUUUGACGGGUAGCCGGCCUGAGAGGGCGACCGGCCACAUUGGGACUGAGAUACGGCCCAGACUCCUACGGGAGGCAGCAGUGGGGAAUAUUGCACAAUGGGCGGAAGCCUGAUGCAGCAACGCCGCGUGCGGGAUGACGGCCUUCGGGUUGUAAACCGCUUUCAGCAGGGGCGAAGCUUGUGGUGACGGUACCUGCAGAAGAAGCACCGGCUAACUACGUG